GCCUGGGUGGCUCAGUCGGUUGAGCGCCCGACUUCGGCUCAGAUCAUGAUCUCCCCCUCUGUGAGUUCGAGCCCCACAUCAGGCU
rfam:Felis catus isolate Cinnamon breed Abyssinian chromosome C2, whole genome shotgun sequence.